UUGUAGGGUAAAGAGAAGCGUUAAACUAUUCAGUGAAAAUGAGAUUAUUGGUACCAGUUUUUUAUUUAUUGUUCGGGAUGUCCUAUGUGAAAUCACAGGUGCCGGUGCUGACUCCAUCCAUUCUGUAUGUUAACCAAGGACAAAC